rnacentral:rRNA from 1 species
UGCUUAACACAUGCAAGUCGAACGGCAGCAUUAUCUAGCUUGCUAGAGAGAUGGCGAGUGGCGAACGGGUGAGUAACGCGUAGGAAUAUGCCUUAAAGAGGGGGACAACUUGGGGAAACUCAAGCUAAUACCGCAUGAACUCUGAGGAGUAAAGCUGGGGACCUUAUGGCCUGGCGCUUUAAGAUUAGCCUGCGUCCGAUUAGCUAGUUGGUAGGGUAAAGGCCUACCAAGGCGACGAUCUGUAGCUGGUCUGAGAGGACGAUCAGCCACAUUGGGACUGAGACACGGCCCAGACUCCUACGGGAGGCAGCAGUGGGGAAUAUUGGACAAUGGGCGGAAGCCUGAUCCAGCAAUGCCGCGUGUGUGAAGAAGGCCUGAGGGUUGUAAAGCAC